rnacentral:tRNA from 1 species
UCAUGAGUGGCUCAGAUGGUAAAGCGUCUGCCUACAAUGUAGGAGACCUGGGUUCAAUCCCUGGGUCGGGAA